rnacentral:lncRNA from 1 species
AUGUCCAGCCUCCAGGGCUAAUAAGAGCACAUUGUCCUUGGUGGCAGGAGGGAGCACCUUGCCUUAUCUAUGCAUUCCCUGGCAAGCAGCAGUGGUGGAGAAAGAGACAUGUCUCACUGCCCAGGUAUGACUCAUUGCACAGCCAAAGGUUAUAAUGAAGUAUCCCACUCAUCCUUUAGCUCACCCUUUGUUCAAGACAAUGCAGAUUGCAGAAGGUUUCUGAGGAGGAGUAUCAGGGAUAAACUGCUGGGAAGAAGGAAGAAGGAGCACAGUUCUAUUGGAAAGAAUGUCUUGAUGCUGAUUAUGAAAAUUACAUGGAAGUCAUAGGCUGAAUUAAAUAUUUCUCUAUGGUGGAAAAUUGAUGGGAAAGCUUCCUGGUAUCAACAGCUCAUAUGAAACAGAAGAAGAGAUCCUUUUAUCAC